AUUGAACGCUGGCGGCAGGCCUAACACAUGCAAGUCGAGCGAGCGGCGGACGGGUGAGGAAUGUAUGGGGACUGCCCGAAAGAGGGGGAUAACUACUGGAAACGGUUGCUAAUACCGCAUACUAUCGGAUAACCCAUAGGGUAUUAGCUAGUAGGUGAGGUAAUGGCUCACCUAGGCGACGAUCCCUAGCUGGUCUGAGAGGAUGAUCAGCCACACGGGGACUGAGACACGGCCCAGACUCCUACGGGGGCAGCAGGGGGGAAUAUUGCACAAUGGGCGCAAGCCUGAUGCAGCCAUGCCGCGUUUAUGAAGAAGGCCCUAGGGUUGUAAAGUACUUUCAGUCGGGAGGCGUGACCGGCAGAAGAAGCACCGGCUAACUCCGUGCCAGCCGCCGCGGUAAUUC
rnacentral:rRNA from 1 species